GAUGAAGAACGUAGCGAAAUGCGAUAAGUAAUGUGAAUUGCAGAAUUCAGUGAAUCAUCGAAUCUUUGAACGCACAUUGCGCCCGCCAGCAUUCUGGCGGGCAUGCCUGUUCGAGCGUCAUUUCAACCCUCGAGCCCCCCCGGGGGCCUCGGUGUUGGGGGACGGCACACCAGCCGCCCCCGAAAUGCAGUGGCGACCCCGCCGCAGCCUCCCCUGCGUAGUAGCACACCCCUCGCACCGGAGCGCGGAGGCGGUCACGCCGUAAAACGCCCAACUUUCUUAGAGUUGACCUCGGAUCAGGUAGGAAUACCCGCUGAACUUAAGCAUAUCAAUAAGCGGAGGA
rnacentral:misc_RNA from 1 species